rnacentral:rRNA from 1 species
UACAGAGGUCCCGAGCGUUGUUCGGAUUCACUGGGCGUAAAGGGUGCGUAGGUGGCGAUGAAAGUUCGAUGUGAAAUCUCCGGGCUUAACCCGGAAAAGGCAUUGAAAACUAUGUUGCUUGAGGUUUGGAGGGGGGACUGGAAUUCUUGGUGUAGCAGUGAAAUGCGUAGAUAUUACAAGGAACACCAAUGGCGAAGGCAGCUUGCUGGGCUACUCCUGACACUGAGGUACGAAAGCGUGGGGAGCGAACAGG